UACCAGACUCCUACGGGAGGCAGCAGUGGGGAAUAUUGCGCAAUGGGCGAAAGCCUGACGCAGCGACGCCGCGUGAGGGAUGAAGGUCUUCGGAUCGUAAACCUCUGUCAGCAGGGAAGAAAAUGACGGUACCUGACUAAGAAGCCCCGGCUAACUACGUGCCGGCAGCCGCGGUAAUACGUAGGGGGCAAGCGUUAUCCGGAUUUACUGGGUGUAAAGGGAGCGUAGACGGCGAUGCAAGCCAGAUGUGAAAGCCCGGGGCUCAACCCCGGGACUGCAUUUGGAACUGUAUAGCUAGAGUGUCGGAGAGGCAGGCGGAAUUCCUAGUGUAGCGGUGAAAUGCGUAGAUAUUAGGAGGAACACCAGUGGCGAAGGCGGCCUGCUGGACGAUGACUGACGUUGAGGCUCGAAAGCGUGGGGAGCAAACAGGAUUAGAUACCCGGGUA
rnacentral:rRNA from 1 species